CAACAAGCGAAAGGAGGUGGUCGAAUGUCUCAUUGUCCCACGCCGCAUGCGGCAGAUUUGAGCAUGACCGUCCUCGCGGGGGUCAAGCUCGGCUAAGCUGUCCGCGACAGGCACGACAAUGGAAGGGCUGUCCCGCAAGGGGCGGCCCU
rnacentral:sRNA from 1 species